rnacentral:tRNA from 1 species
GCCUUGUUAGCUUGGAGGCUAGAGCUUCCGCCUUAUAAGCGCUAGGUCGCGGGUUCGAUUCUCGUCCGGGGCG